AGUUUGAUCCUGCUCCUGUAUUGUUGAAGCUCAAUUGCUCUAUUGCUAUGCAUUAGUAGCUUCCAAUCUGCUGAACUGCUGCUACUACUGUGAUUGCUGAUUUACAUUUUAAAUGCUUUUUCCUUUUUGAAAGUUACCCUCAACAGAUCCUCACUUAGCUCCUCCACCCUAGUUUGGUGCCAAUGACUUUCUCCUCUGUGUAAGAUCUCUUUGAAAACUUCAUAUUUUUAUUAUGUCUAGCAGCGGGAGGAAAAUUAACUAAAUUAUUUUUAUCACCUGUAGAAACAAAAACUUUAUAAAAACACAUCUGUAUCACAGAUUCUGAAAUUUCAAGACCGGACGUGUUGAUUUCACAAGGAGUAGGCUCUGGUCGUGUUAAGCAUGAUUAAUUAAGCAUCAACUACAGGUGGUCAUAGCAUGUAACUGAAAUAAUAGAAAUUGAGUCUAACAAAUAAGAAAAUAUUUCUUUUAUCAGAAACCUGGUUUUUUAAGCUUGGGGUGAAAGGGAAAAUACACACUUUCCCCAGCACUGUUUUAAACACCUUUGCAAGCAGUGCUUUUAAGAGCAUAAAGGAAGACUUUUUCCCAAGCAGUCUGAAGCAGCAGGUGGGGUAAUGGGGCAGAAUACACAAUUUAAUAUACAUGUAAUUUUUAAGGCAGUGAUUACCAAUCUGUGGGCCGUAGCCCACGAGAACAAAAAUCUAGUCUGCAAACGCCCUUCCUCUUUUUUAUUUUAUUUUAUUUUAUUUAUUUCUACUUCUUUCUGCAGAGCUGACCAUUGCACUGGAUAGCCCACAUCACCACUAGAUUAUUAAGUGUGGUCUUCUGUGGGCAAGCAGAUGGUGACUAGUGGAUGGCAUAUGUUCUAUAUCACAUGGGGAUCCAAGAUGGCAGUCUCCUCUGCUGAAGCCACACCCACUCCAAGACAAGAGGUUACAGCCAAACAACACCUCAGGUCUGCUGUUUAUUGAAUUUUGAAGGAUUUUUGAAAUAAAUACAAGUUACUGCAGUCAGCCCUCCACAUUUCAAUGGGUUAAAGGGAUAGGACCCCUGCAAGAGUGAAAAACUAAUGUGAACACCCACACAAGCCAAUGAAGAAGCCAGUUUUGCUGAUCAACUAUAAGGUGGCUCAAAGCCAGCCACCCUAACCCAGGAUGAUUCCAUCCACUAGUUCCUGCUGCCCCAGAAGAAGACGAAGGGAAAGGUGGGGAAUCCAUUCAAGCAUCUCCCACAAACAGCAGAAGAGGAAGGAGAGAGUCAGAGAGAACCUUUGGAGGAGCAGAGCCCACACCCAGAUUCAGGGAAAGGGGCUCAUUCCUAAAAGCAGCAGGAGUAGGCAAGCUCAGUGCGAGGCUGGGAAUUCGCCUUAUUUCCCAUGUUACAUGUUUUCAAAAACUUUCCAUACAAUAAAGACAUUUGUGCAAGCAUGUAGCUUGUUUAAGUUAACUGUGAUCAAAUUGAGUUUGACUUAUGGUGAACCUCAUUCUGUUCUGCAACCCCCAACCUUUUUGUUUUCCUGCUGCUUUCUACCUUGUCAGGCAUUACUGUAUGUUCUAGUGAGUCAUAUAAUCUCAUGUCAUCUACAGGGAGCCUAUGGAAUGACCCCCCAAAUAAGUGCUGUAUCCUCUGCCCAAUGAUGCUUUUUGUUAAGUCCUCAAAUGUCUAACAUUGCAAAGGGAAAGACAUUGAAAAUCAUUCACUCCCAGAACUCUUAUUUCUAUUCCCCUAGUAACUUUACCUUUCUGUUUUGUUUGAAUGCUUUAACUGCAUAUUGAAAUGCUCAGUGGAAAUUCCAGAUUACUUCAGUGCUAGAAAUCUAAGGACCGAGGAAAAGUUUCAGUAUUGCACAGAAGUCAUGGAGCCAGAGAAGGUGGUGGGGAGCAUUUGUGCAAAAAUAGAGAAGAUUCCUUUUCAUCCUUUUUUGAAAAUUGGCGAGUGACACCUCAGGACAUGUACAUAUUUCUGCUUUUAUGCCUAGUUUUGAUAUGGAAAUAUUCAGCCAGUUGUUCUCCAGAUCAUUUCUUUUCUUCUAGGCCUGCAAAGUUGAAUUCCACAAAUAUUCUCUUCUGGGUUCAUUUUCAGCAGCAUUCCCAUGAUCAAAACUCCUUGCCUGCUGCUAUAAGAAACUUCUAUUUUCUACUGUACUGUUUUCAGCUUUUAAGUCUGUUUUACUUCUUAUAUUGCCAUGCCUUUUUGGGUUUUUUUUUCAGAGAGGCUGACUACAUCUUGUUGUUAACAACAGCAACAAUUUCCAUUCAGCUUUUUAUUACUUUCAUACUUGCAACAAUGUUUCUAUGUCUCCUUUUUGGAAAGAAUGCAUUAAUAUAAUAUUUUUCUAAACAUACUCUUUUAAAGAAAUUUUAUGGCAUUUUGUGCUGUUAAAUAUUUGAAAUUUUGUUUGGAUAAAAUGGAUUUAUUAUAAAAUCUUUUAAUCUGAGGGUGCCUUUUAUAAUUUAAUGCUGAGGUUUACUGGGCUGAUUUCUACCACAGGAAAGCCAAUGUCUUGUAAAGCAGUGAAAAAUUAUUAAAUAAAUAAGUAAAUAAUGAGAAGAC